rnacentral:rRNA from 1 species
CACGUAGGGUGCGAGCGUUUGUCCGGAAUUAUUGGGCGUAAAGAGCUCGUAGGCGGUCUGUCGCGUCUGCUGAUGAAACUCAGGGCUUAACCCUGAGCUUGCAGUGGGUACGGGCAGACUAGAGUGCGGUAGGGGAGACUGGAAUUCCUGGUGUAGCGGUGAAAUGCGCAGAUAUCAGGAGGAACACCGGUGGCGAAGGCGGGUCUCUGGGCCGUAACUGACGCUGGAGGAGCGAAAGACAUCGGGG